rnacentral:lncRNA from 1 species
CAGAGCCUGUUAAGUUUCACGUGGAAUGCUCAGUUUGAAAAACUAUAUAUAAAUAUAUUGCCAGUAAUGCUGACAGCGUUUACACUGUGAGGUAGAACCAGUUGGGCUGGAAACCAAAUUUGCUGAAGAGACUAGCUCUAGAGCAUGCAAGCUGUCGUGCAUAGGAAAGAUGGGAAAAGAAACUUGGAUUUAUCCUCUGUUGUAGAGCACUGAAGGAUACGCUUACCUGCAGUGUGUUUAAGACCUUGAACUCUGUGCCUGGCCUUGCAGCUUUAGCUAUCCGAUCCACCUCACAAUGACCAGCACUGAGGGCAUGACAUGGCACGCGAUCCUUCCUGCAGGAGCCUCGAUGGUGCUUGUGACAAGGUCAGGAUUGGUAAGGGAAAGACCUGGGUUCUUGUACCUACUCAUGAGACUCUUUCUGCAUUUCAUCCAGUGAGCGAAGUGGAGGUUUUCCCACCCUCAGGGGCUGUGAAGAGCGGAAACAAGUCGGCUGGUGGCAUCACAGAGCUGCUUUGAAGUGGUUUCCAGUUAUGGGGCAAAAAGGAGGUGAAAUCCUGGCCUUCUUGAAAUCCAUGGGCGUGUGGCUGUUCACUCCAGCGGAGCCAUGCCUUCUUCCUGGGUCUAUUGGCUUUGCCUAAAACCAGUUAUGCUCCCUCCCUUUUUUUUUUUUUUUAAUUACAAAAUUAAUUAAAAAAUUUAAUU